rnacentral:lncRNA from 1 species
GCAGACCCAUUCCUGGAAGACAGGGCGCCACUUUGUCAGCUGACUUUGGCUCAAGGACUCUCAGUGGCUUGGCUGAACCUUCCUUAGACUGCAAGAUCAACUCAGUCUCAGAGAGUUGGAAAGAGUGAGAAGCUGAGCGAAGGUGGCACUCUCUUACUCAGUUCACUGCAGUUGUGUGAUGAGUUCAGGCCAAUGAAGUGUGGGCAGGAGUGAUGCGCACCACUUUCACGCCCGGCCCAUCCAAACCUCCCACGUGUGACCUUCCACCUCUUUCCAUCUGUGGGGACCUUGCUGGAGAUGGCAGUGCUUGCUGAAGAGGCUAAGAGCCUGGGUCCCUGCAUGGCUGUGUGGAGCAGAGCCCUCCCACCCACCGUCACCCACUCCCUUCGGAUUGCUC